CUUACUAACGAUCUGUGUUUCCAAUGCACAGGAGCAGUUCUGUUCAUCCCUGUCACUCAGGGGCCCAGACUGAUGGAGGGAUCCUCUAACACUUGCUUCCAGGAUUGCUGUGGCAGCAGGAAUAUUUGGAAACUGUGACUCUGCCCUCACCAGGAGUUUGGGCAAAUGAUCUGGGUGUUGGAAGUCACUCUGCUGCUGUGUGGAGAAGAGGCUGGAGGAUGGGAAGCGAAAGGACCCGUGAGAGGCGACCACAGUAGUCCAGGCAAGAAACGGUGGCUUCUGCGAGAGCGGCGGCGGUGCUGGUGGGGACAAGGGCGCGGAUUUGGAAUAGCCCAACAUUUCCCACUUAACUUCAUUAAUUUGUUCUUGAAAAUCAGACGUUCUGCACAAAAACGCUGACAGCCUGUUUUCCAUUGUUUGUAAAUGAAAAAAAGUUACACCACAUUGCACAGCAACGCAUAACCCACCAGCUUCCUAAAACACGACUGAGGCACAGUGAGGUGUCUGCAUGGAAGCAACGAACUGUAAUGUCGGGACGUAAAAUGUUUAAACAUCAUUUCCUGAUCUCCUAAUUUGUUGUUGUAUGUCAUAUGUUAAUUUUAUUUGUAGGCAGUAACAUGUACAGUUUAUAUGCUUUUGACAUAAACAUUUUGUUUACAAUGGGCCAUGAUAAAUAACACACAGCAAUGGGUUCAUUGGUUGGAAAAAAUGCAGACAGAAAUUUCCAAUACAAAAUAAGGCUAUUUCCUGUAAUGAAGCAACAGCUUGCCCUAUUCGAAGCUUCCAGGGAUUAGGGUGUAGACAUCCCUGGGGCCAUUAUUCCAUCUCCUAUGAUUCUGAAAAUGCUGGCAGGAUGAAUGAAGAAAACAUGAGCUCUUUGUGAUGGUACUGAGCUGCAGAACCUGGGGUCUCUUACCUCUGAAUUUCUUAGUAUAUGAAAUAAUAAAUUUCCAAAUUGUUUAAGCCAAAUAUAUAUAGUUAGUUAGUUAGUUAGUUAGUUAGUUAGUUAACUUUGUGGUUUUCCAAUUGAUAUUAGCGACACUGUCAUGCUAUAUAAUUUUAUACCCUUGAUAAUUGUCAUACUAAAUUAAGAAUGCCACUUGUGAAUGCCAAAGUACCAGACUACAAAUUCAGGUGAGUUACAGCAAAGGGCCCAGAUAAACAAGGAAAAAAAUGCUGGUCUAUGGACAAUCUACCAAAUUAUAUGAUCACUGCUUUGAAGCAUUUAAAAUUAACCUUUGUUAUUAAAGACUUCCUGUAUAUAUUUAAAAGGAAAAAUGCAGCCUUUGGCUAGUCCACGCUAUUUUAAUGUGAAAAUAUAAUAUGCCAGCUUUUUCUAAAUUUUCUCUAGAACAACUCGAUGUCUCAGGGGUUCUUAUUAAUAAAACAUUAUGUUGCUUUAAGCAGAAAGGGGCCCUGGGGAGUGGCCCUGAAUAUAGGAAAAAGGCCAGGAAAGUUCAGAGUCUGGUUGCUCAAAAAGAGGACGAAAAGAGCCUGUAAGUAGGAAAAUAAGAAUCACGGGGGGGAAAUGCAACGGCGUCUUUUUCUUUAAUCUCCCUGUCUUUCUGUUUCUCAUAUGACCUAACACAGGGUUUGCCACAAUAGGCUGUCAAUAAACGGAACAGAUAAUGAAUAACGAAUGAACAAAUGAAAACACAAAUGAUUGAACAGGAGGCCUCAUCAUUUGGGAUCGUUUCUACAAAGGGUAAUAAAGAAAAUAUGAGGUAUUA